rnacentral:lncRNA from 1 species
ACCUCUUCAAGUAAAAAGCACGUAGGGCACUUCCCGCGUGGCUGGCGGUCUCUCUCUCGGGCCAAGAGACGCAGCAGGAGGAAGCGGUGGGGGCGCAGGGCGGCGCGGAGCCCAAGGUGCAGGGACCCGCCGAGGGCAGAGGCACCGGGCACCCGGGGGCGGGUCUGGAGCGGGGCCACACCGGGCAGCGGGGCCACCGGGCGGCGGGCAGGAGGCGGGGAGGCCGGGUCCGUCCCCCUCUCGCUCACCUCCCCGCGGGCACCUCCCCGGGCUGCACCCCGCUCGCCGCCCUCCGGCCCCUGCCGCCGGCUCGUGAGGAUCUGGGGGCACCCGAGGGCGGCCGGACCGGGGCCGCCAGGAGCAGGGCAGGGAGACGGCCUGGGCGCGGCACCGGGCCGGGAGCCUCGAGAGGCGCGGCCGGGGGCGGGACGGCGCCCCGGAUGCCACCCACGGGGCCGAGCCGAGACGUGCGGGCGGAGACGGAGAGGUGGCCGCGGGGACCCGAGGCGCGGGGACUGGGACGGAGCCCUCGGGGGGCCGGAGGGGGACGAGAUUCCCGCUCCUUCUGAGUCCAAAGGGCUCCGCCCGGCGGACACGGUCCCUACACCCGCGUGUCAGGCCGCCUCGGGCCACGCAGCGAGGGGUGACCGACCGGGGGCCGGAAGGGGGGACAGGGAGGGUGCGGGGCCACUGCGGGGCGGACACGGAGGGGGCGGGACUUCCCCGCCGCGCUGUCCGAGCUCCUCUCAGAUGACCGAGGCCCCGACGGGAACCCGCAGGGCCGGCUGCGGGGUCGCGGGGGUCCCGGGGCGCCCUCCUGGUCCUUUCCCGGCAGCAGACGGGCGAGGCCGCGUCGGGCGCCGACCCUCCGGCAGCGCGGCCGUCCGGGAGGGAGGGCACAGGGCCGCGGGGCCGCCGCACGUCGCCCCGUCCCCGGGGAGGAGCACGGCCCGCGCAGCCCCGUCCGCCCGCACGCAGGAGCCCUUUUGUUCGGCCCGCGCCCUUCGGAACCCCCGGCCCCGCCCCCGCCCGUCGGCGGCCUCG